rnacentral:rRNA from 1 species
AUGCGCGUGACCGGCUCAGAGAUGAGCUUUUCCUUCGGGACACAAAGCAAGGUGCUGCAUGGCCGUCGUCAGCUCGUGCCGUGAGGUGUUGGGUUAAGUCCCGCAACGAGCGCAAACCCCUACUGUUUAGUUUGUCCACGCACGUAAUAGGUGGGGACGUCUAGACAGACUGCCUCGCGCAAGACAGUGAGGAAGGACGGGACGGACGUCAGGUCAUCAUGGCCUUACGCCUAGGCGACACACGUGCUACAAUGGACGGUACGAGCGGGUAGGCUACUGGGCGACCAGAUGCCAAUCUCGAAAAGCCGUUCUCAGUUCGGAUCGGAGUCUGCAACUCGACUCCGUGAAGCUGGAAUCACUAGUAAUCGCGCAUCAGCCAUGGCGCGGUGAAUACGUUCCCGGGCGGUCGACGCGGCCG